rnacentral:rRNA from 1 species
AAGAUGUAACGGGGCUAAACCAUGCACCGAAGCUGCGGCAGCGACACUGUGUGUUGUUGGGUAGGGGAGCGUUCUGUAAGCCUGUGAAGGUGUGUCGUGAGGCAUGCUGGAGGUAUCAGAAGUGCGAAUGCUGACAUAAGUAACGAUAAAGCGGGUGAAAAGCCCGCUCGCCGGAAGACCAAGGGUUCCUGUCCAACGUUAAUCGGGGCAGGGUGAGUCGACCCCUAAGGCGAGGCCGAAAGGCGUAGUCGAUGGGAAACGGGUUAAUAUUCCCGUACUUGGUGUUACUGCGAAGGGGGGACGGAGAAGGCUAUGUUGGCCGGGCGACGGUUGUCCCGGUUUAAGCGUGUAGGUGUGUGUUCCAGGUAAAUCCGGUUCACUUUAACACUGAGGCGUGACGACGAGGCACUACGGUGCUGAAGCAACAAAUGCCCUGCUUCCAGGAAAAGCCUCUAAGCAUCAGGUAACAUCAAAUCGUACCCCAAACCGACACAGGUGGUCAGGUAGAGAAUACCAAGGCGCUUGAGAGAACUCGGGUGAAGGAACUAGGCAAAAUGGUGCCGUAACUUCGGGAGAAGGCACGCUGACACGUAGGUGAAGUGAUUUACUCAUGGAGCUGAAGUCAGUCGAAGAUACCAGCUGGCUGCAACUGUUUAUUAAAAACACAGCACUGUGCAAACACGAAAGUGGACGUAUACGGUGUGACGCCUGCCCGGUGCCGGAAGGUUAAUUGAUGGGGUCAGCGCAAGCGAAGCUCCUGAUCGAAGCCCCGGUAAACGGCGGCCGUAACUAUAACGGUCCUAAGGUAGCGAAAUUCCUUGUCGGGUAAGUUCCGACCUGCACGAAUGGCGUAAUGAUGGCCAGGCUGUCUCCACCCGAGACUCAGUGAAAUUGAACUCGCUGUGAAGAUGCAGUGUACCCGCGGCAAGACGGAAAGACCCCGUGAACCUUUACUAUAGCUUGACACUGAACAUUGAGCCUUGAUGUGUAGGAUAGGUGGGAGGCUUUGAAGUGUGGACGCCAGUCUGCAUGGAGCCGACCUUGAAAUACCACCCUUUAAUGUUUGAUGUUCUAACGUGGACCCGUUACCCGGGUUGCGGACAGUGUCUGGUGGGUAGUUUGACUGGGGCGGUCUCCUCCUAAAGAGUAACGGAGGAGCACGAAGGUUGGCUAAUCCUGGUCGGACAUCAGGAGG